rnacentral:rRNA from 1 species
UACGUAGGGUGCAAGCGUUGUCCGGAAUUAUUGGGCGUAAAGAGCUCGUAGGCGGUCUGUCGCGUCGGACGUGAAAAUCCAGGGCUCAACCCUGGACCUGCGUUCGAUACGGGCAGACUAGAGUUCGGUAGGGGAGACUGGAAUUCCUGGUGUAGCGGUGAAAUGCGCAGAUAUCAGGAGGAACACCAGUGGCGAAGGCGACUUCCUGGCCUGUUCUUGACGCUGAGGCGCGAAAGCUAGGGGAGCAAACGGG